GAUGAACGCUGGCGGCGUGCCUAACACAUGCAAGUCGAGCGGACGGACGAGGCUCUUGCUUCUCUGAUGUUGGGGGCGGGCGGGUGAGUCACAUGAGUAUGCCCUACCUAUAAGGCUGAGAUCACUUAGCGACAGCGGAUAUCACAUACGAUCAGAUUUUGAACCGCAUGGUUCAUAGGUGAUCGACGGUUUUGCUGUACCUACUAGAGGGUUCCGGGCUGCUUGAGCUAGUUGGUAAGGUAACGGCUUUCCAAGGCUAGGAUGGGUAGACGACCUGACAGGGGGAUCGGCCACACUGGAACGGAGACACGGUCCAGACUACUAAGGGAGGCAGCAGUAGGGAAUAUUACGCAAUGGGCGAAAGCCUGACGCAGCAACGCCGCGUGAGUGAUGAAGGUCUUCGGAUCGUAAAGCUCUGUUAUUAGGGAAGAACAGAUGUGUAAUUAUCUGUUCACAUCUUGACGGUACCUAAUCAAAAAGCCACGGCUAACUACGUG
rnacentral:rRNA from 1 species